rnacentral:lncRNA from 1 species
GCAGACGCCGGGCGGGUAAGCCGCGACGGGGCUGCAAAUCCACCGCUCGGCGUCUUCCCAUUUGGAAGGUACGGCUCUGCCGCUGUAAAACGGCGUCGUUAAAGCGGAGGAGGAGCCGAGGUGGCGGCGAGGGGCGACUGCCGCUGUAAAACGGCGUCGUUAAGGCGGAGGAGGAGCGGAGGUGGCGGCGAGGGCCGUGGCCGUUGUUGAGUGUGGGAGUGGAAGAAGCGGUGGAGGAGGAAGGGUGGGGGACUCUCUCGGAGCUCCAGCCUUUGUUGUCGGAGUAGCUACUCGGAGCUGCU